rnacentral:rRNA from 1 species
UAAUAACAUGCAAGUCGAACGAAGUUAGUAAUACUUCGUGGCAGACGGGUGAGUAACAUGUAGGUAUCUGCCCUUUGGCCUGGAAUCACACGAGGAAACUUGUGCUAAUACCGGAUAAGUCUUUACGGAGAAAGCUUUAUGCACCAUUGGAUGAGCCUGCACUUGAUUAGUUUGUUGGUAGGGUAAUGGCCUACCAAGACUGUGAUCAAUAGCUGAUUUGAGAGGAUGAUCAGCCACAUUGGGACUGAGACACGGCCCAAACUCCUACGGGAGGCAGCAGUAGGGAAUCUUGCACAAUGGAGGAAACUCUGAUGCAGCGAUGCCGCGUGAGUAAAGAAGGCCUUUGGGUUGUAAAGCUCUUUCGUCGGGGAAGAAAAUGACUGUACCCGAAUAAGAAGU